rnacentral:misc_RNA from 1 species
AUUACAACCUAUUUCCAAGUUCCAUCACAUAGGUAAAAGGUAAUUUUAAAACCUUACAGCCUUGUAUAAUCCCCCCAUUCCAAAAGCUUAUAUCCCAGAUAAGCUAGAACAUUAUUAAAACUAGUCUAGCAACUUCACAUUACACUGCAACUAUUGGCAUUUUCAUCACUGAAGAAGUGAGUGUAGGGAUCAGCCAUUGGAUGUGGUGGCAUUGGCGGCGGCGGCAUGUAAUUAACAGCCGGUUGCGGUCUGGCAUACAUCAUUGGUUGAAACAUAUCAUUCCCAUUUUGCCUCUGCUGAUUCAUCAUCAUUGCCAUAUAUUGUUGAUUGUAAGGGUUGCCUCCUCCCAUCAUCCCUUGAUAAUAACCACCAUUCAUGGCUGCUGGUGGUGCAGGCAGUCCUUGCACUGCAGGAAAAUUACCCAUUGGGCGCUUCUGGGCCAUCUGACCCAUCUGGCCCAUCUGGCUCAUCUGACCCAUGUUCUUGGCACCACCACCACCACCACCACC